AACGAACGCUGGCGGCAGGCCUAACACAUGCAAGUCGAGCGCGCCUUCGGGCGAGCGGCGGACGGGUUAGUAACGCGUGGGAACGUGCCCAGAUCUACGGAAUAGCCACUGGAAACGGUGAGUAAUACCGUAUACGCCCUUCGGGGGAAAGAUUUAUCGGAUUUGGAUCGGCCCGCGUUAGAUUAGGUAGUUGGUGGGGUAACGGCCUACCAAGCCUACGAUCUAUAGCUGGUUUUAGAGGAUGAUCAGCAACACUGGGACUGAGACACGGCCCAGACUCCUACGGGAGGCAGCAGUGGGGAAUCUUGGACAAUGGGGGCAACCCUGAUCCAGCCAUGCCGCGUGAGUGAAGAAGGCCCUAGGGUCGUAAAACUCUUUCGCCUGUGAUGAUAAUGACAGUAGCAGGUAAAGAAACCCCGGCUAACUCCGUG
rnacentral:rRNA from 1 species